GACCCGGUUGAGGAUUCUGCCAAAUAUUCGUGAACGUUGUAGACUGGAAGAUUGAAAAUAUGGAUUGGGUCAUCAGAAUCGCUGUUUUGGAGGAGUCAUUUCAACGGCUUGUUGGUUCUGUGACUCUUUCACUCGCUGCUGCGCGGACGGACGUGUUGUGCCUGUUAGUUACUUUGAACGUGUCUUUGACACAGUUCCUUGAAAGCCGUACAUGAGUCAUUGCUGGAGGUGGCAAGAGCAUCCCAAGAUGCCAUGCAUUUGACUUGGCAUUUACAGCCAGCCAGUCGUUCUAAAUCUACCCUUGUUUUACAGGAUAACAGAGGACUUCAAAACUGGUCUCCUUGUCCAGUUCUUGGACUUGCUUGUGCUGCACUAGCCUACACAGAGAGAUGUUGGAGAGUUGUGCUAAGUGGUAGUUAUGAGAUAUUUUGAUCUGGGUCACUUAUAUACAACGCCAAGAAGACACACUAGUUGAACCAGGAUUUGCUUCGGAGCCUCCUAACACUGAGGUAGCUCUGACGGAGCACGUGUCAACCUCAUCGUCUAUGUGGACAUCCCUGGAAAGUAUACUGCCAAGGCAAUUGGGGUUAAGUGACUUGCCCAGGGUCACACAGCGAGUAAGUAUCAAGUGUCUGAGGCUGGAUUUGAACUCACGUCCUCCUGACUCCAAGGCCAGUGCUCUAUCCACUUUGCCCCCAGCUGCCCCUUUUUUUCUUUCUUUUUUUUCUCUCAGACUUUUAAUAUGUAACAACCUCCUUAAAAAAUGGAGACUCCCACAAAACAAUCUAUGCAAAUAAUUUCGGUCUUUAUUGAAAUGAAAUUAAGAAAUUGUUAUUUUUAUAACCACAAAAUCAAAUCUUAAAAUAUAAUAAAUAACAAUAAAUGUUACA
rnacentral:lncRNA from 1 species